GAACCUGCGGAGGGAUCAUUACAGCGGUGCAAAACUCCCUACACCAUCGUGAACAUACCUAACCGUUGCUUCGGCGGGGGAUUCUCCCCCGCCGGAGGUACCAAAACCUAUGUAUUUUACACGGCCUCUCUGAGUGAGUACUUGAAAAAUCAAGUUAAAAACUUUCAACAACGGAUCUCUUGGUUCUGGCAUCGAUGAAGAACGCAGCGAAAUGCGAUAAGUAAUGUGAAUUGCAGAAUUCAGUGAAUCAUCGAAUCUUUGAACGCACAUUGCGCCCGCCAGCACUCUGGCGGGCAUGCCUGUUCGAGCGUCAUUUCAACCAUCAAACCCCCUGGGUUUGUGCUGGGGAUCUGCGGCCAACCGCAGGCCCUGAAAACCAGUGGCGGGCCCGCCGCCGUGCCCGAGCGUAGUAGAUCUAUCCUCUAGCUCAGGGCACGUAGCGGGCUUCCCCGCCGUUAAACCUAUACCAUCAAGGUUGACCUCGGAUCAGGUAGGAAUACCCGCUGAACUUAAGCAUAUCAAUAAGCGGAGGA
rnacentral:rRNA from 1 species